rnacentral:misc_RNA from 1 species
AAGUCGUAACAAGGUUUCCGUAGGUGAACCUGCGGAAGGAUCAUUAACACGUAUCCAAACGUUAAACAACCCCGUGAACAUACAACCUGCUCUGGUCGCCCGCUCGCAUGGACAAGCCCAGUAAAUCAAGCCCCGGAAAGUUUUUGAUUUGGGACCUCUGUGCGCGUGAGAAAAACUGACAGCGAUUCAUAGAAGCGGUAGGUCAAGUGACACGGCGUCCCCAAGUGACCGAGCGUCAAGGCAAGAUUGCUAGAGGUCGACCACCGACCGGCUUCCGUGUAUACUGAGCUUACCCCCCGAACAACUGUUAACAAUGGAUAUCUUGGUUCUC